UACGUAGGGUGCAAGCGUUGUCCGGAAUUAUUGGGCGUAAAGGGCUCGUAGGCGGUCCAUCGCGUCGGGAGUGAAAAGCUGGGGCUCAACCCCAGUCCUGCUUCCGAUACGGGUGGACUAGAGGUAUGCAGGGGAGAACGGAAUUCCUGGUGUAGCGGUGAAAUGCGCAGAUAUCAGGAGGAACACCGGUGGCGAAGGCGGUUCUCUGGGCAUUACCUGACGCUGAGACGCGAAAGCGUGGGGAGCGAACAGG
rnacentral:rRNA from 1 species